rnacentral:rRNA from 1 species
GAAUCAACGCUGGCGGCGUGCCUCAGACAUGCAAGUCGAACGCGAAAGUCCCCUUCGGGGGAUGAUUAGAGUGGCGCACGGGUGAGUAACACGUAGGUAAUCUACCUUCGAGUGGGGAAUAACUCAGGGAAACUUGAGCUAAUACCGCAUAAUGCAGCGGCACCACAUGGUGACAGUUGUUAAAGCAUUUAUGCGCUUGAAGAGGAGCCUGCGGCGGAUUAGCUAGUUGGUAAGGUAAUGGCUUACCAAGGCUACGAUCUGUAACCGGCCUGAGAGGGCGGACGGUCACACUGAC